rnacentral:sRNA from 1 species
CUCUUUUGGUUGGUGGCUGAUUGCGCGGUACUGAUUUGCUACUCCAGCGUCUCUGGUCUACUUCGCGAUCUGUAGGCUCUUGUCCAUUGACUUUAACACCCAGUUUUUGUUUGUGCUGGGUCACUUCAAUUUGGAUACACGUGGAGCAGUCGGAAACUGUUCUGAGCAGGAAGGGCAGCAGGUCAUAACUCCAUGCAGGAAGCUCAUCUUGUGUGCUGAUAACAGAAAAGAAAUGGAAGAUUGGAUUGCAGCAUUAAAGACUGUGCAGAACAGGGAGCACUUUGAGCCCACCCAGUACAGCAUGGACCACUUCUCAGGGAUGCACAAUUGGUACGCCUGUUCCCAUGCGAGGCCGACCUACUGCAAUGUGUGCCGUGAGGCUCUGUCUGGGGUCACGUCGCAUGGGCUGUCCUGCGAGGUGUGCAAAUUUAAGGCCCACAAGCGCUGUGCUGUGCGUGCAACCAGUAACUGCAAGUGGACCACACUGGCCUCGAUCGGGAAGGACAUCAUUGAAGAUGCAGAUGGGAUCGCAAUGCCCCACCAGUGGUUGGAAGGAAACCUACCUGUGAGCGCCAAGUGCACUGUGUGCGACAAGACCUGUGGCAGUGUGCUGCGCCUGCAGGACUGGCGCUGCCUCUGGUGCAAGGCCAUGGUUCACACAUCAUGUAAAGAAUCCUUGCUGACGAAGUGCCCGCUUGGCCUGUGCAAAGUGUCAGUCAUCCCACCCACGGCUCUCAACAGCAUUGACUCUGAUGGGUUCUGGAAGGCCAGCUGUCCUCCGUCUUGCACAAGCCCACUGUUGGUCUUCGUCAAUUCAAAAAGUGGGGACAACCAGGGUGUGAAGUUCCUCAGAAGAUUCAAACAGCUGCUAAACCCCGCCCAGGUCUUCGACCUCAUGAACGGAGGCCCACACCUCGGCUUACGGUUAUUCCAGAAGUUUGACACAUUCCGGAUUCUGGUUUGUGGCGGGGAUGGAAGUGUUGGCUGGGUCCUCUCCGAAAUCGACAGCCUCAACCUUCAUAAACAGUGUCAGCUGGGAGUGCUGCCACUCGGCACAGGGAACGACUUGGCCCGAGUGCUGGGCUGGGGCUCAGCCUGCGAUGACGACACCCAGCUCCCCCAGAUCUUGGAGAAGUUGGAGAGAGCCAGCACUAAGAUGCUGGACAGGUGGAGCGUCAUGGCAUACGAGGCCAAGCUCCCCCGGCAGGCCUCCUCCUCUACCGUCACCGAAGACCUCAGCGAGGAUUCCGAGGUGCAGCAGAUUCUCUUCUAUGAAGACUCAGUUGCAGCCCACCUUUCUAAAAUCCUCACCUCGGACCAGCACUCGGUGGUCAUCUCCUCGGCCAAAGUGCUCUGUGAGACGGUGAAGGACUUUGUGGCACGGGUGGGGAAAGCCUAUGAGAAGACGACCGAGAGCUCGGAGGAGUCAGAGGUCAUGGCCAAGAAGUGCUCUGUCCUGAAAGAGAAGCUGGAUUCCCUUCUCAAGACCUUGGAUGAUGAGUCCCAGGCCUCGUCCUCUCUGCCCAACCCGCCCCCCACCAUUGCCGAGGAGGCUGAAGAUGGAGAUGCGCCAGGCAGCGUCUGCGGCUCCACCGGGGACCGCUUGGUGGCAUCAGCUUGCCCGGCCCGGCCGCAAAUAUUCCGGCCUCGAGAACAGCUCAUGCUGAGAGCCAACAGCCUGAAGAAAGCGAUUCGUCAGAUCAUAGAACACACAGAAAAAGCUGUGGAUGAGCAGAAUGCCCAGACCCAGGAGCAGGAGGGCUUCGUCCUGGGCCUCUCUGAGUCAGAGGAGACGAUGGACCACAGAGUGUGCCCACCACUGUCCCACAGCGAGAGCUUCGGGGUCCCCAAGGGGAGGAGCCAGCGCAAAGUGUCGAAAUCUCCGUGUGAAAAGCUGAUCAGCAAAGGAAGUCUGUCCCUGGGCAGUUCUGCUUCCCUUCCACCCCAGCCGGGAAGCCGGGACGGUCUGCUUGCGCUCAACACCAAGAUCCUGUACCCAAAUGUCCGGGCUGGAAUGUCUGGUUCCUUGCCUGGUGGCUCAGUCAUCAGUCGCCUGUUAAUUAAUGCUGAUCCCUUCAACGCUGAACCAGAAACCCUAGAGUAUUACACGGAGAAAUGUGUCAUGAACAACUAUUUUGGCAUUGGCCUGGAUGCGAAGAUCUCCCUGGACUUUAACAACAAGCGCGAUGAGCACCCAGAGAAGUGCAGGAGCCGAACCAAGAACAUGAUGUGGUAUGGAGUUCUUGGAACCAAAGAGUUGCUGCACAGAACCUACAAGAACCUGGAGCAAAAGGUCUUGCUGGAGUGUGACGGGCGACCCAUCCCACUCCCCAGUCUUCAGGGAAUUGCUGUCCUUAACAUUCCCAGCUAUGCCGGAGGAACCAACUUCUGGGGGGGGACCAAAGAAGACGAUGUAUGUAUGGGGUGUGAGCGGGUGGGCCUGAGCUCAGUGGGGAAGAGCUGUCUGAGAGCAGGGAGGUGUUCUGCUGUGUCUGGGGUGGAUCCAGCUCUUCCAUUGUGCCAGCAGCAGGGCUGCCGUGGAGAACAAGAUAGACGGGGUCCCCCACCCAGCUCAUCGUCUAGAGGGCUGAGCAGAGCAGAUGUGUCAGUGAAGGUGGUCAGCGAGGGUCUGUGGUCAGCAGAUGCGGUCAGCGGGUGUGAUGUGGAAGGAGGGUCAGGGAAAGUGUCUGGGAGGCCAAGACCUGAAGGAUGACUUGGAGUUGGCUAAGUUAGGUGGGCAGAGGAGAGGGGGAGGCUGUUCCAGGCAGAGAGAAUUGCACAGAUGAAGGCUCAGAGUCAAGACAGGGCAGGCACAUGGCGGAUGGGGGAGAGGUGCCCUGACUGCAGCGGGCAGCAGGGGUGUGGAGAGACAGGAGAGGUCUGCAGGGCCUGGGUCACGUUG